rnacentral:rRNA from 1 species
GGUAAGUCGGGACCUAAGGCGAGGCCGAAAGGCGUAGUCGAUGGACAACAGGUAGAAAUUCCUGUACUACAAGAUUGUGAUUGAGAGAAGUACUGACGCAGAAGGAAAAGUCGAGCGUGUGAAUGGUAGAACACGUCCAAGUAACAAGCCAGAAUAUACAGGCAAAUCCGUAUAUUCGCUAACGUAAGUUAUCAUGGGGAGCAGAAAGAUGCGAAGCGACAGAUUCAAACUGCCAAGAAAAGGUGCUAUCGAAUAAUCUUGUACCCGUACCGCAAACCGACACAGGUAGGCAAGAAGAGAAUUCUAAGACGCGCGGAAGAACCUUUGUUAAGGAACUCGGCAAAAUAAUCCCGUAAGUUAGCGAGAAGGGAUGCCUAAGAAAUUAGGUCGCAGAGAAUAGGCCCAAGCGACUGUUUACCAAAAACACAAGUAUCUGCUAAAUCGAAAGAUGAAGUAUAGGUGCUGACACCUGCCCGGUGCUGGAAGGUCAAGGGGACUUGUUAGAGCAAUCGAAGCAACGAACUUAAGCCCCAGUAAACGGCGGCCGUAACUAUAACGGUCCUAAGGUAGCGAAAUUCCUUGUCGGGUAAGUUCCGACCCGCACGAAAGGUGUAACGAUUUGGGCACUGUCUCAACAAAGGAUCCGGUGAAAUUGUAGUAGUCGUGAAGAUGCGACUUACCCACGGUAGGACGGAAAGACCCCGUGGAGCUUUACUGCAGGUUGACAUUGAAUUUUGGGAUUAAAUGUACAGGAUAGGUGGGAGACGAAGAAGCAAGCUCGCCAGAGUUUGCAGAGUCACUGUUGGGAUACCACCCUUUUAAUUCUAAAGUUCUAACUAGUUACCAUGAAACUGGUAAUAGGACACUGUCAGUCGGGCAGUUUGACUGGGGCGGUCGCCUCCAAAAAAGUAACGGAGGCGUUCAAAGGUUCGCUCAGAAUGGUUGGAAAUCAUUCAAAGAGUACAAAGGCAAAAGCGAGCUUAACUGCGAGACAUACAGGUCGAGCAGAGACGAAAGUCGGACUUAGUGAUCCGGUGGUACCGAGUGGAAGGGCCAUCGCUCAACGGAUAAAAGCUACCCCGGGGAUAACAGGCUUAUCU